CUCCCUUUAAGAUAAAUUCAAAUGCAAAAAAAUCUAACCUUUAAGGGUUCUCCCAUGUAGUUUAGGUAAAAUAUUUACAAAGAGAAAGAAAUAUUUGGUGUACAUCCUAAAAAUAUGAUUGAGUAUCUGAGUUUUGCCCCUGUAUUACUAUGUAAAAUCUCAUCUAAUAUUUCCGUAUUCCAAUUUUUCUAACAAUUGCUUUUAAAAACACCAUUUAAAAGUCUAAACUGAACAAAUAAACUAUAAGGUCAGAUUAGACAUGUCAUUGGCAGACAUAAAGUGUUAUUCCUCAAAGCUCCAAAAAUGGAAGGAUAUCACGGGAAAUAAGCAUUGAAAAUAUUAUCUUGAGCAUAAAACGAUGGAAAAUUACCAAAAAUCAUACUUUUUCUGAUACAUUUUGACAAUAAAUGAGUGAAAUUUACAAACUAAACAAUACUGCAACAGUGCAAAGCAUACCAGUCUCACUGCAAAAUCUGCCCCUAGCAUAUGUUUUAUUUCUUCAGUUUAGACCUUUAAAUGGUGAUUUUAAAAUCAAUUGACAAUAAAAACCAGGAUAUUACGGAAUUAUUAUAUGAGUAUUUGUAUAAGAAGACAGGGGUAAAGCUAAGAUACUCAAUUAUCUUUUUAGGCUGUACACCAAAUAAUUCGUUCUCUUCAUGAAUCUGUUACCUAAGAUACCUGGGAAAACCCUGAAAGGAUGAGUCAGCAAGAAAAAGCUAAGAGUAAAAAGAAAAGGUCUACCAUGGAAUCAAAAUCUGAUGAAGAGUCAGAACACAAGAAUGGUCCUAAUUUGGCAAGCAAUUCAAAGAGGGUUUCCUUAAUACCAGCUAUAGAUCACAAUCCUAAUAGCUACAAUAUAUCUUGUGGCCUAAAACUGGUAAUGAUUAUUAACAAUGUUAAGUUUGAUAAGUACAACAAAGGUCAACCUGAACACAAGAAACUUCCUGAGAGAGGUGGCAGCAAUGAAGAUGUAAGACGUAUCAAAGAAACCUUUUCUGGAUUGGGUUGGACAGUGGAAGAGAAAUAUAUUCUUCAAGAUCAAAAAGAAGCAAAAA